rnacentral:rRNA from 1 species
AACGAACGCUGGCGGCAGGCCUAACACAUGCAAGUCGAACGCCCUAGCAAUAGGGAGUGGCGCACGGGUGAGUAACGCGUGGGAACGUGCCUUUCAGUCUGGAAUAACUGCGGGAAACUGCAGCUAAUACCGGAUAUUCUCUACGGAGGAAAGAUUUAUCGCUGAAAGAUCGGCCCGCGUUAGAUUAGGUAGUUGGUGGGGUAAUGGCCUACCAAGGCUACGAUCUAUAGCUGGUCUGAGAGGAUGAUCAGCCACACUGGAACUGAGACACGGUCCAGGCUCCUACGGGAGGCAGCAGUGGGGAAUAUUGGACAAUGGGCGCAAGCCUGAUCCAGCCAUGCCGCGUGAGUGACGAAGGCCUUAGGGUUGUAAAGCUCUUUUGUCAGGGAAGAUAAUGACGGUACCUGAAGAAUAAGACACGGCUAACUUCGUACCAGCCGCCGCAGUAA